AACUUCACAUCGUAUUGUCAGUCAAUGUGUUUUGCAUUAUAAUUUUCAAAUGUUAAUUUAAAAGGUGCUAAUUAAUUUAUAAGAAAAACACAAUGGAUAUAAUAAUUGAUACAAAAGGUCAAGAUGAUCUUAAAGAAAAAACAAAAUUAGUGGAGAGCGAUGAUGAUCUUGAUUACGACGGAAUUGAAUUUGAUCCAACGAGGAUAAAAUUACACACCCGUAAGGCAAAAAAAGCGAAAAUAAAUCCGGCAAAAGAUUUUGAUCUCGAUGAAUUUGAAAGAGACAUGGGUUGGACGAAUGAAAGGCGAAAACAACCGUUAAAUGUAACAAAUGUUGAGGAAAUGUUACAAGAAAUGGAUCCAUUAAAAAAAAUACUCAAAAAAUCGUCAAUAAAACCUGGUUUUGAAAAAUUAAAAAAAAUACCCGGUUACGAUGUAAGCGAUAAAAAAUUAAAAGAAAGACGUAAACGACAACGUGACAAAACAAAAGGAAAACAAUGGUUCAAUUUACCAGCAACACCAAUGACCGAGGAAGUAAAACGUGAUCUUGAAAUAAUUCAAAUGAGAUCGGCUCUCGAUCCAAAACAAUUCUACAAGAGAAAUGAUAUGAAAACAUUACCAAAAUAUUUUCAAAUUGGCAAAGUUAUCGAUUCACCAUUGGAUUAUUAUAGUGGUCGUAUGACAAACAAAGAACGUAAACGUACAAUUGUCGAUGAAUUAAUGGCAGAUGCAGAAUUUGCCAAAUAUAAUAAACGAAAAUAUAAAGAAAUUAUUGAGGAGAAAAAUAAACGUAAUUACAAGGCACAUCGACACGCAAAACGACUCAAGGGAAAGAAAAAAUAGUUUUUUUUUUUAAAUUUUGAUUUACUGCUCCAAAAUUCGCAAAGUUGAGGAAUCACCUUAAAAGGGAAAAGAUCUCUUUCUCUCUCUCACUCUCAUCCAGCGUAACCCUUAGCAACGAUAUCAUCUGCGCGUUAUAUACUGACGUCAAAGCCGACAGUACUGACGUCAAGGAAUGCAACGUGAGUGGUCAUGUUUACAGAAAAAUUGAACUUGAGUUAUUCGCUUCAUAGCGCGACGAUUGGAAGGAUAUAUAAUUCGAGACGACGCAACUAGUGGAAUAAUGAUUUUAUAUAUUGACGAAAGUGAGAUGAGAUUUUUGGAGGCGAUAUGAUAUUUUUUCAAUGUGAUCAAAUAUGAGUUAAGAAAUAAUAAACUUAAAUGAAUUAAGAAGAGUCAAUACAAGAUUGGAAACUAUUUUCGAAAAAAUAAAGUCUUAAUUAUGAAAUUUUAAAAAACCAAAUUUCUUCUCGCAAUUUUAAAUGAAAUACGUACCAAUUAAUAAGAGUGAUGAAUUUUCGGAGCAUCAAAUAAAAGAAACAAAAAUCAAGAUAAUAGAAAAAUAUUUAUAUCCUUCUUUGGAUAAUCGAAGAAAAAAAUAAUUCUCCUGUCUGAAUAAUAAUAAUAUAAUCGACGUUUUUUGUGCUCGCGAAAAAGAGAGAAAGAGAAAGAGAGAGAGAAAAAACGUCCCUGCUAUCACAAUUGAAUAUCUACGGCACUGACCUCGUCCUCGGCUCUCUCUCUCGGCAUCUCGUGCCAGUUUUCGUUCGGUAGCUCUCCGAGAGAACCAGGUAAGGAGGCAUAUCGAAGACCUAGUGCAUGUGUCACCGAUGAGAAUAUUAACUGACGAGCGUGCAAAUGAAUUUCGCGCGUACAAAAAUUGCGGCAUAUAAAAAAAUUCUUCACUAAAUCUACUUUAUAAAAAAAGAAAAAAAAAAGACAAAA